UUCACCAGCACGAAUGAUCAUACAAAGUAUUUAUGUUUGAGUAUAACAUAAACCCAAACAAAAGGGGGGCUUUCUCUCUCUUCUCUCUGUUUCGAGAGAUUGAGAGUUGUGGUCGCCCCUUCGACGGCGUAAGAAUUUCGACUCUGGUACACGGUGGUCUUCUCGACGGCGUGUAGCCGGCCCUUGUUUCUGAUGGUUCGCGCUCUCUCUGGCGGAACUAUCCGGCUUUCGUUUUAACGGCGAUGAAGCUUUUGUGGUGGUGAUCGCCGGUUAUAGUAUCAGAUGUUUGGGUUGGUCUUGUUUGUUCUCCUCGGGUGUGAUCAAGGUGAGUGACGAAUUUGUGGUGUGCGUGGGCCUGACCUUGGAUGAGAUCUCGAUUUUGAUUUCGUUUUCGAUUUCGAUUGAACUCUCCAAAACGUUCGCUUGAAGAAACUGAUUCCAGCAAUCUUCCAAUACAGUCGUUGGAGAUGGAUUCGGUGGCUCUGGUUAAGGUCCUGGUUGAAUUCCGAGUGGUGGUUCUGAUUCCGGCGUGGUCCGGCGUUUCUCGCGGUUGUUCGGUCAUGUUUGGUGGUGGCGCUUGGUUGCGAGACGCGUGUCUUCUCUUGUUGUUAGAGGUUGACACGUGUCUCUUUCUUUCACUAAAUUCAACACGCGUUUCGGUGUGUUUUCCUCGGUUUGUCCGACUAGGUGGUGUGGGCCGUAGGCCGUGUUUUAGUUGUUGGGUUUUUUGGUUGGUCCAUUGAUUUGGGCUUUUAGAAGUUGGGCUUUUAGAAGUUGGGCUUUGUUGUUUGGUUUUUGUUUUCGGGCUUUUGCCCUUUAAUAAAAUUCAGAUUGAAAAAAAAAAGUAUUUAUGUUUGAGUAAUUGCACUCAAUAUACACCAAUAACCAGGUAAUUUGCGAAAAUAUAACUUCUUUUUUCAUAAUGGCAAAAUCACCCAUAUUCCUCCAUGACGAGUCCAGAUGAAAUUCAAUUUGAUAUUUAAAUUUAAUUAUUCAGUUACUGCUGUCCCCACCAUCUCUUCUUCUUCCCCCACCAUGUUUUUGUUGAACGGGUUUCCCCACCAUGUUAAUCUCUUUUAAGUGCAUCUACGUUUCUCAUCUUCACUUUAUGCCUAAAAUUAUUUUAAAGUAAACCCCUAAUUGUCUCUGCUUUUCUCCCAAGCUUUUAGAAAGUCGUGAAAAUUUAAAGCUCGAAUUUUUCUGUCUUUUACUUCUUAAAAGAAUCGAAUUAUGUACAAGGAGCGGAGUGGAGGUGGUGGGUCGUAGGAGAUCGUCGGCGGAGCAAUUGAUCGGAAACGAAUCAACGACGCACUCAAAAUGAAACUAGAAAAGUAUUCAACAUCCACAUCUAGGGGUUUCUCUUCUAAAGACAAACCUCAGCUUCCCGAUGUGAAAUCUGAAAUGAAUAUUGAAGAAGGCUAGGAUGUGAGUGGAUCAGAAGGUGAUGAUGAUGAUGAUACAUAUCGUGGAUCUCAUGGUUUUGUAAUUCGAGAGGGAAUGAUUUCUUCUGUGAAGUUAAUGAAGAUUAUAUAACUAAUGGCCAUUAAAAUAA